rnacentral:rRNA from 1 species
AGUGAACGCUGGCGGUAGGCCUAACACAUGCAAGUCGAACGGCAGCACAGUAAGAGCUUGCUCUUACGGGUGGCGAGUGGCGGACGGGUGAGGAAUACAUCGGAAUCUACUUUUUCGUGGGGGAUAACGUAGGGAAACUUACGCUAAUACCGCAUACGACCUACGGGUGAAAGCAGGGGAUCUUCGGACCUUGCGCGAUUGAAUGAGCCGAUGUCGGAUUAGCUAAUUGGCGGGGUAAAGGCCCACCAAGGCGACGAUCCGUAGCUGGUCUGAGAGGAUGAUCCGCCACCCUGGAACUGAGACACGGUCCAGACUCCUACGGGAGGCAGCAGUGGGGAAUAUUGGACAAUGGGCGCAAGCCUGAUCCAGCCAUACCGCGUGGGUGAAGAAGGCCUUCGGGUUGUAAAGCCCUUUUGUUGGGAAAGAAAAGCAGCAGGUUAAUACCCCGCUGUUCUGACGGUACCCAAAGAAUAAGCACCGGCUAACUUCGUG